UACGGAGGGGGCUAGCGUUGUUCGGAAUUACUGGGCGUAAAGCGCGCGUAGGCGGCUUUGUAAGUCAGAGGUGAAACUCCCGGGGCUCAACUCCGGAACUGCCUUUGAAACUGCAUCGCUUGAAUCCGGGAGAGGUGAGUGGAAUUCCGAGUGUAGAGGUGAAAUUCGUAGAUAUUCGGAAGAACACCAGUGGCGAAGGCGGCUCACUGGACCGGCAUUGACGCUGAGGUGCGAAAGCGUGGGGAGCAAACAGG
rnacentral:rRNA from 1 species